CAAUUAAAUAUAAUAUACAUAAUAAUUAAAGUAAAAAUUAUAUCUUCAAGCAGAUAAUGAUUAGAUGCAAGUAUGAUCUCCAUAAGUCACCCAUACGAAUGUCCUCCAAUGAUAGUCUACACAAGAUCGAUCACAGACUUUUCCAAUCUGCUGCUAUAUUAAAAUUGCUUCACAAAAUUUCAGCAAGCUUUUCUUCUUAAAGAUGAAGUGCACCACAAUCUGAUAGCUUACAAAACUCCACAAAGAUCACGUUCGAAAUCUUUUGUCAAAAGAUUAGCAUGCC
rnacentral:lncRNA from 1 species